rnacentral:rRNA from 1 species
AUUGAACGCUGGCGGCAGGCUUAACACAUGCAAGUCGAGCGAGCGGCGGACGGGUGUGUAAUGUCUGUGAAACUCCCUGAUGGAGGGGGAUAACUACUGGAAACGGUACCUAAUACCCCUUACCAUCGGUUUUACCCAGAUGUGAUUGGCUAGUAGGUGGGGGAAAGGCUCACCUGGGCGACGAUCCCUAUCUGGUCUGGGAGGAUGACCGGCAAACCUGGAAGUGAGACACGGUCCAGACUCCAAGGGGGGGAAGCAGUGGGGAAUAUUGGACAAUGGGCGAAAGCCUAAUGCAGCAAUGCCGCGUGUAUGAGGAAGGCCUUGGGGUUGUAAAGUAUUUUCAGCGGGGAGGCGUUAACCGCAGAAGAAGCAACGGCUAACUCCGUGCCAGCAGCCGCGGUAAUUC